AGAGCGAACGCUGGCGGCAUGCUUAACACAUGCAAGUCGCACGGUCAGGUUUCGGCCUGGUAGUGGCGGACGGGUGAGUAACGCGUAGGUAUCUAUCCGAAGGUGGGGGAUAACGGCGGGAAACUGCUGCUAAUACCGCAUAUGACCUGAGGGUCAAAGGUCGCAAGACCGCCUGUGGAGGAGCCUGCGUACGAUUAGCUUGUUGGUGGGGUAAAGGCCUACCAAGGCGACGAUCGUUAGCUGGUCUGAGAGGAUGAUCAGCCACAUUGGGACUGAGACACGGCCCAAACUCCUACGGGAGGCAGCAGUGGGGAAUAUUGGACAAUGGGGGCAACCCUGAUCCAGCAAUGCCGCGUGUGUGAAGAAGGUCUUCGGAUUGUAAAGCACUUUCGACGGGGACGAUGAUGACGGUACCCGUAUAAGAAGCCCCGGCUAACUUCGCGCCAGCAGCCGC
rnacentral:rRNA from 1 species